UGGGGAAUAUUGCACAAUGGGCGCAAGCCUGAUGCAGCCAUGCCGCGUGUAUGAAGAAGGCCUUAGGGUUGUAAAGUACUUUCAGUCGGGAGGAAGGCGUUGAUGCUAAUAUCAUCAACGAUUGACGUUACCGACAGAAGAAGCACCGGCUAACUCCGUGCCAGCAGCCGCGGUAAUACGGAGGGUGCAAGCGUUAAUCGGAAUUACUGGGCGUAAAGCGCACGCAGGCGGUUGAUUAAGUUAGAUGUGAAAAUCCCCCGGGGCUUAACCUGGGAAUGGCAUCUAAGACUGGUCAGCUAGAGUCUUGUAGAGGGGGGUAGAAUUCCAUGUGUAGCGGUGAAAUUGCGUAGAGAUGUGGAGGAAUACCGGUGGCGAAGGCGGCCCCCUGGACAAAGACUGACGCUCAGGUGCGAAAGCGUGGGAGCAAACA
rnacentral:rRNA from 1 species